rnacentral:rRNA from 1 species
UUGCACUAUUGGAUGAGCCUAUGUCAGAUUAGCUUGUUGGUGGGGUAAUGGCCGUACCAAGGCGACGAUCUGUAGCUGGUCUGAGAGGACGAUCAGCCACACUGGGACUGAGACACGGCCCAG